rnacentral:rRNA from 1 species
AUGCACGCUGGCGGCGUGCCUAAUACAUGCAAGUCGAGCGAACAGACGAGGAGCUUGCUCCUCUGACGUUAGCGGCGGACGGGUGAGUAACACGUGGAUAACCUACCUAUAGGACUGGGAUAACUUCGGGAAACCGGAGCUAAUACCGGAUAAUAUAUUGAACCGCAUGGUUCAAUAGUGAAAGACGGUUUUGCUGUCACUUAUAGAUGGAUCCGCGCCGCAUUAGCUAGUUGGUAAGGUAACGGCUUACCAAGGCAACGAUGCGUAGCCGACCUGAGAGGGUGAUCGGCCACACUGGAACUGAGACACGGUCCAGACUCCUACGGGAGGCAGCAGUAGGGAAUCUUCCGCAAUGGGCGAAAGCCUGACGGAGCAACGCCGCGUGAGUGAUGAAGGUCUUCGGAUCGUAAAACUCUGUUAUUAGGGAAGAACAAAUGUGUAAGUAACUAUGCACGUCUUGACGGUACCUAAUCAGAAAGCCACGGCUAACUACGUG